GGUCUGUUAAGGUGCGGCGGCGACGGAGUUGGGUGCCCACCCCGAUCGCCCUCAGGGACGUGAAGCACAUGAACUCGCUUCCGCCUCCUGCUGCUGCCGCUGUAGAGGGUGGCCGGGACUCCGCGGGUGCCCGCCAUGAGCCAGCCGGAGAGGAGGGGUCGCGGCUCCCUGGAGGUGAAGUUCGUGCCCGACGAGGAGGUCCUGAAGCACAUUGCUGACCACGCAGGUAUUAAAGUACAGAAGGACAAGACUCAACAGACAGUCAGUACGAAGAGAUUUAUGAAGAAGCUUGGGAAUAUUUCAGAUGAUGAAGCUCAGGAGAUCAUGGAAGAGAAGAACUAUGUUUCUGUUCUUGGAAUAUGUGCCCAAGAUCCAAUGGAAAAUGGCUCAAAUAUAAGUGGUGGUGAAGUUUACUCAUUCCAGACUCCCAAACGCUCCAGCAAAAUGGCAGAGCUGGCCUCUGAAUUAGCCCAGACACCAGGACAGAGUGUUGUAUCUGCUCACUCUGAGUGCCCUGAGAAGACAGCUGAAGCCCCUCAAAGCAGCAAACGUUCAAGUUCAAACAAAGUGCAUCAGAGGAGUAAAAAGAAAGAAUUUGUGUCUACCACACCUUACAGACUCAGAAAGAGGCUAGCAGCUCCAGAUCCCUAUUUAGAAAGUGAGAGUGAAUAUUCUGCUUCCUGCUCAGAGGAGGAAGAUGAGGAAGACCAGAAAGAAGUCAGCGCUGCUUUAUCAGAUCAAAAGACCCCAACAAAAACUAGGGCUGCAUCUACACCUCCUCCCAAAAACACCCUAGCCAAAAAAAUUAAGGAGGUCAAGAUGAACAACCUGGUGGAGGAAUACUUUGAAGCUCACAGUAGUUCCAAAGUGCUCACUUCAGACCGAACACUGCAGAAGCUGCAGAAAAGAAGAUUGAAUCAGCAAACACUGCAGGACCUUUUGGAAAAAGCUCCCCUUGCCUAUGCUGCUGAAAUUAAAGAGCUACACCAGCAACACGAAUCUCUGUUUUCCAAGUGGAUGCUGCAAUUACACUUGGGUUUCAAUAUCGUGCUUUAUGGACUGGGCUCAAAGCGUGAUUUGUUAGAGAAGUUUCGUACCUCUGUGCUCCAGGAUUCUGUUCACCUUGUGGUUAAUGGAUACUUCCCCAGCAUCACUGUGAGAUCUAUUCUCAACUCCAUCACAGAGGAUGUACUGGACCAUAUAGGGACCUUCCACAGCCCCCUUGACCAACUUGAAUUCAUCAUUAAAAGGUUUAAAGAAGAUUCAUCUUUAGAGCUCUAUGUCCUCGUUCAUAACCUGGACAGCCAGAUGUUGAGAGGAGAAAGAAGUCAGCAGAUCCUUGCACAGUUAUCGUCUGUGCCUAGCAUUUACCUCAUUGCCUCUAUCGAUCACAUCAAUGCUCCUCUCAUGUGGGAUCAGGCAAAGUUAAGCCUCUAUAACUGGCUUUGGUAUGAAACAACCACAUUUAGUCCAUAUGUUGAAGAAACGUCUUACGAGAACUCACUUUUAGUACAACAAUCUGGAUCUUUGGCUUUGAGCUCCCUAACACAUGUCCUGCGCAGUCUCACUCUCAAUGCCAGGGGGAUAUUCCGACUGCUUGCUCAGCACCAGCUGGAGAACAAGGACAACCCAUCUUAUCCAGGCCUGUCUUUCCAAGACUUCUACCAGCAGUGUCGGGAGGCUUUCCUUGUGAACAGUGACCUGACACUCAGAGCACAGCUGACAGAAUUCAGGGACCACAAGCUCAUCCGAACCAAGCGGGGAGCUGAUGGUGUGGAAUACUUAUUAAUUCCUGUAAAUGACAGUACCUUGACCGACUUCUUAGAGAAAGAGGAUGAAGAUGUAUAACGUCUCUCUAUUCAUAAAGCGUCUACGGCAAUUGCUCUCAAGGGCUGCUGGAGGGGGGCCUAUACUCAGAUCUCUCCAACCCCAAGGCUGCUGGACUACUUAAUGAAAUGUAAUAAUUGUAAUGAAUCAUGCUUCUUGUUCAACUACGUUGGGUAGUUUGGAAUGAUGACUUCUGUAAGCAAGGCAUCUCUUGCUUUGUAGUUAGAUCUGUCUGCUUCAUCUCUUAGCUCAGAUGAUACCUUCUUCAUGUCUGUGCAGCCAACCUUACAGCUAGAAAAACAAAAUUGGUAGGAUUGUGCCUUCUGCUCUCUACCUCACCAGACGUGAGGGUUUGAUUGGAGCAGUUUACUUGGGAAGUGCAAAUCACUAGAUGGUCAGAGCUUUAGUUAGUGCUAGUGGUGUAGCUUUUCUCAACUGAGUGCUUUCCAGUACUCCGUUACCAGUUAGACAAGACUAGCUUCCAGUAUAUGAAGAAGCCAAGAUUUAGAAUGCUAAGAGACCUGCCUCAACUGCAUGAGGAAAGGAGAAACUAAUGGGUGUGGGACACUGUGGGUAACUUAUUAAAAUCUGGCAAUAGAACGGAAGGACUUGGCCCAAACCCAAAUCCUUUUAUAAGAAGAUUUAGAUAAUCAGAAUUGUUACAGACUCAUGUCAUUGCCAGUUGGUGAGGCUGAGAGGAUCCAGUUCCUUUCAUCUUCUUCAUGGGUUGCAAUCCAGGAAUAUGAAGAGGCUGUAAAGUUUUUUUGUUUAUAUUUGAAAAACUUGAUUAUAUAUAUGUAUUUUUUUAUAUCAGGAGUGUCCACUGAUCCUGGAGGAGGCCUUAAAUGCCACUUAUAAGCUCUCCCUUUUUUUAAGCUCUUAGAGGUUGGGAGACUGCUGAAGUUUGACAGCUUUUCUUCACUUUUUUUCUCAGGAAGAUAGAGAUCCUUCUGGCAGUUGUGUGAAAGCCUAAUUUUCAUUAUUGUCAAAUAUCUGUGCAAAUCCUCAUACAGUGUGCAGAAGAUUUCAAACUAAUUAUGACUAUUUUUAUAAAGAGAAUGAAACAGCAACAUAAUCUUUUACCUGUGAGAUAGAGGUCAGCUUCCAUUCCCUUCAGGACGCUGCUCCCAGAACCAGCACACAGAGCAGCUUUCUUCACUGGUGAUUCUGCAGGAUACAAGUGACAACCAGCGUAAUACAGAACUUCCAGUUAAAAAUACAGGUAAGAUUCUUUCUGCAUGAUUGUAUCCCGUAAAUUCUAAAAUGUUAUUUCUUGUCUUUAACAGUGCUUCAUACUACUUGGAAAUAAAUCUACACAGGGCAGCAGUAUUUCACACAUUCACGCUCCUUGUCUUCCUGGAAUACUAGUUCUUAUGGACAGUCUUAUUUGCAGGCCUGUUUACCUAGCGUCUUGCCCAUUCCCACAGCUAAGCGGAUGUAGGGUAAUUUUAGGUGGCUUUUGAUACGCUCAAUUAUGUCUGACAAGGAGACUGGCUCGUUCAGUGUGCACAGACGUCCCAUUCCAGUAUGGGGAAGAAGAGGCUGAAAAGAAAUUAAAAUUGCUGUGAGAAAGCUGACUCCAGAAGUUUGCAUUGUAUUGCUUUCCAUACUGUACAAAGAUGAGUCUAUUGGGCAUUCAGGAAUGCCUCUAAACUUUACAAAAGAU